CUAGCCCAAUAGCCUAAAAAGUAGUUCCUGCCUUUUAUAGGCGGCCUCCCCUCCCAAAUCUGUGGGAGACGAAUCCAUUCAAUUUUCACAGCCGCCAGCCGCAGCGCCGCCACUUGCAGCCACAGCGCCGCCGCCCCUCGCAGCGAUCCAGCCAGCCGCAGCCUCUCGAACCGGUGCAUUCCGACCGUCCGCGGAAGCCCGCGUUGGGCCCUCCCGAGCCCAUCUGAGCCCGGAAGUACCGCCGCCUCGCCCGCUCGUUCCCAGCCUCGCGCAGGAGAGCUUCUCCGCCGCCGGUCCAACACGGCAUCGUGCUCAGACGCCGCCGCAGGAGCCGCCACCGCGCUGCUACGCCGGAGACGCCGGAUCUCCUCCGCGCGCGCCCCGCCGUCGUCAAAUCCUAGCGGGGGACGGACGGAAUCGAGCUCCCGCGACCUGUCGCGCUCAGAUCUGUGCUCAGCCGCCGCCAAGAACGCCUCUGCCGCGGAUCCAAGCUCCUCCGGCGAGAUCGCGUCGUCGCCGCCGCCCGCGUUGACCUCCAGCGCAACGUCCAGGCCGUGUUUGCCUGACCGGUGGGGCCGCGCCACCAGCAACCGAGAUCUCGAGUUGAAACGUGAUGUCUCUCGUUAAGCUAGAGGUCAUUACAUGCAACAUGCCUUCUCUUAUCACCGAAGACACAUCUCAUAUGGCACUGGUUUCGUUGUUUCAUACCGUGACAAUAGGUGUGUGAUAAUGACAAAUGAGCACGUCAUAGCUGGGUCUUAUAGCAUCACGGUUCUGCUGAGUGAACAUCGAUUCACCGAUGCUUAUGUGAAACGAGCGGGCCCUGCAGACCUUGCUCUGGUAGAACUGAAAGACGUUGUUGCAGAGUUUCGACCUAUGAUAUUCCAGGAGUUGCCAAUUCCUGCUCUCCGAUCUGUGGUAUACUUGCAUGGAUUUUUCCCUGCAUUUGGAGGGACAGCUAUCCUCCCUUCAAGCUGCCCUGGCCAUAUCACUGGCAUGUGGUAUAGAGAUAAUGAACAUCUUCUUCUAGGGGAUUUCAUAAGUGAGCCUGGAUGUUCUGGUGGUCCCAUUACCAUGGGGGAUAGAGUGAUUGCAGUGUUAGCAGGAGGUAGGCACGGAUGUAGGACAAUGCUUUCUACUCUGACUGUGUACAUGACACUAAUGGAAUGGUGUGAUUUUCAUAGCCCAAACCAUACUAUUGCUGGGAUGCUUCGAAGGCUUUGUUGAUCAGCUUUGUUGGGAUACCAAGCCAGCAGGGAUGAAAUGUGAGUGACUUGGAAUGAUAGCUUGCUGCCUUGCUGAAGUGUAGAGUGGAGCGAAAGACGGUUCUCGUUUAGUUCUGAAGUUGUCGGACUGCUUUGUUAAGCUAUUUGUUGUUUAUCUAGUACUAGUACGUAGAGUAAGUUAUUCGUGUCCGACUGGGCUACACUAGACUGUUAGGUACUGCCAUUCGUUAUCAGACCAAGUUUGCAUGUUUUGAGUUGCUGUCCUACUCUUACAGAGACAUGUGAUGCGUUAAUUGCUGCCUA